UUUUUACCCCUAAAACAUCCAUUUUUUUGCAGCGGACGCAAACUGACCCCGCAGGGCCAGCGCGACCUGGAUCGCAUUGCAGGGCAGGUGGCGGCCGCCAGCAAAAAGCAUUGAGGGGAGCAGCAAUAAAAUGGAUUUGAUGGA